rnacentral:lncRNA from 1 species
AUGCAAAAGAGGGGAGCUUGGACUGGGGGCGCCGGGACCCAAGCAGGGGGGCGGGGGAGGCCCGGGGACGGGCGCGCCCCUCCCCCUCCCCCCCGCCCCCCGCCCCCGCUCCCCGCUCCCCGCUCCCCGCCGCGGGUCGGGGCUCAGGACGAGGCUGCAGGCGCCCGGGAGGGAGGGGGCGCGGCGAGCCCUCUAGGUGAGGAAGGGGCGCUGGGGACCCCGCGCGGGGCGCGGCCUGGGGAUGCCGGCGGGCGCAGGGGCGGGCGGCGGGGGGCGCGGAGGGAGGAGCUUGCGUGGCGCGCCCCGAGCCGGGCUCCCGCGGGCCUCCCCGGAGCGCCCCCGGGCCGCGGCGGCUCCGAGCGCUGGGCCUCGCCCUCCGGAUGCCGCGCUCCCCGGGAGGCGCCCGCCUGCGGAGGCCCCGCGGCCCGCUCUCCGCCCAGACCCCUGCGCCCGCCGCGGAGGCCGGCAGCCGGCGGCGGGGAGGGGCUGCGGGGUCGGCGCUCCGGGCCGGCGGGUCCCGCUGCUCGGCGGGGCUCGGCGGGGCUCCGCGCGGCGGGGGGCGGGGGCGAGAGGGGAAGGGCCGCGCCGCAGGAGCCGGCCUCGCCCCCGCCCCGCCCCGCCCCGCCCCCGCCCCGCCCCCGCCCCCGCCCCCGCCCCGCGCGCGGCCGCCCGAGAGCUCGGCUGGGCUCGGCGCGGGGCCCGGCUCGCAGUCCCGCCGCGGGAGGUGGGGGUGCGGGCGGCGGCGCCCCCGGGCUCCAGGACCCACCCCCCGGGGCCCCGAGCGUCGCUCCGCCCGCCGCCCCCUCCCCCGUCCUCCCCGCCCCCCCAUCCCACCUCCCCACCCCUCGUAAGGACAUAAUGCUGCCUGGCGCCCGCACCUCCCAGUCGCUCCGGGUCCGCCGCGAGCCAGGGGCGCCCGCCGGGUCUGCGCGCCGGGACCCCCGCGCCUUCGCCUUCGCCUUGGCCUUCGCCUUUGCCUUGGCCGCCUCGGCCGCCUCGCCGCCGGGCCCCGCUUAG